UACGUAGGGACCAAGCGUUGUUCGGAUUUACUGGGCGUAAAGGGCGCGUAGGCGGCGCGACAAGUCACUUGUGAAAUCUCUGAGCUUAACUCAGAACGGCCAAGUGAAACUGUUGUGCUAGAGUGCAGAAGGGGCAAUCGGAAUUCUUGGUGUAGCGGUGAAAUGCGUAGAUAUCAGGAGGAACACCGGUGGCGAAGGCGGCCCUCUGGACGGAUACUGACGCUGAGGCGCGAAAGCGUGGGGAUCAAACAGG
rnacentral:rRNA from 1 species